CUCUCCGUGGGGCAAUGAUAAAUGCAUGUCACCCCCGCCCGUCCCCAUCGGAAUGUGUCAUCCGGAGACCCCAGAAGGCGACACGUCUGAGGAAGAGCUCACGGAGGAAAUAGUAUUCAAAGAUGAAGAUACGCAGUGACAAGAAGCAAUUAGAGAAAAGGGGCGGAGAAGAAGAAUGGUGCCCCCGCGCCGUUUCUCGCCUUCAUCCUGGAAUUUCCGGUUCAGAUUUGGUAUAAAAGGCUCGAAUGAAGCAAAAAAAAGGAUUGGAAGAAGAAUAAAAUAGAA
ensembl:ncRNA C54G4.11 ncRNA